GACGUAGGGCGCGAGCGUUGUCCGGAUUUAUUGGGCGUAAAGGGCUCGUAGGCGGUCUGUUGCGUCGGGAGUGAAAACUCAGGGCUUAACCCUGAGCCUGCUUCCGAUACGGGCAGACUAGAGGUAUGCAGGGGAGAACGGAAUUCCUGGUGUAGCGGUGAAAUGCGCAGAUAUCAGGAGGAACACCGAUGGCGAAGGCAGGUCUCUGGGCAUUAACUGACGCUGAGGAGCGAAAGCAUGGGGAGCGAACAGG
rnacentral:rRNA from 1 species